rnacentral:sRNA from 1 species
AGAACGGUUCUCGCCUUAAGUCAGGUU